AGUGAACGCUGGCGGUAGGCCUAACACAUGCAAGUCGAACGGCAGCACAGUGAGAGCUUGCUCUUACGGGUGGCGAGUGGCGGACGGGUGAGGAAUACAUCGGAAUCUACUUUUUCGUGGGGGAUAACGUAGGGAAACUUACGCUAAUACCGCAUACGACCUACGGGUGAAAGCAGGGGAUCUUCGGACCUUGCGCGAUUGAAUGAGCCGAUGUCGGAUUAGCUAGUUGGCGGGGUAAAGGCCCACCAAGGCGACGAUCCGUAGCUGGUCUGAGAGGAUGAUCAGCCACACUGGAACUGAGACACGGUCCAGACUCCUACGGGAGGCAGCAGUGGGGAAUAUUGGACAAUGGGCGCAAGCCUGAUCCAGCCAUACCGCGUGUGUGAAGAAGGCCUUCGGGUUGUAAAGCCCUUUUGUUGGGAAAGAAAAGCAGCAGGUUAAUACCCCGCUGUUCUGACGGUACCCAAAGAAUAAGCACCGGCUAACUUCGUG
rnacentral:rRNA from 1 species